GCCUCCUUAGCUCAGUGGUAGAGCACUUCCAUGGUAAGGAAGGGGUCCCGGGUUCGAGUCCCGGAGGAGGCU
rnacentral:tRNA from 1 species